UAGAUUGAAGCCAGUUUUUUAGGGUUUUUAGCUGUUAACUAAAGUUUCGUAGGUUAGAGUCCUACCAAUCUAGU
rnacentral:tRNA from 1 species